AUGGGCUUGCUUGGAGAUGCACGGUUUUGUGAUCCAAGGAGUUUUCCAUAUGUGAAGACUGAUGUGACAAAUGCAAGAGCAAAGCUGCGAAGGGGUCUGUCAGAGCGUGACUUGGAGCUGACAAUCGAGUACUUUGAGAGAAGACAAGUGGAGAAUCCCAACUUCUUCUUCUCAAAGCUACAAGAAGAUGGAGCUGUUAGGGCGCUUUUCUGGGUUGAUGGGAGAACAAGGGCCUUGUAUCCAAAGUACAAAGAUUGUGUGUUUUUCGACACCACAUUCUGCACAAAUCGCUACAACUUGCCCUUUGCUCCGAUUGUUGGCAUUAACAACCACACACACACUGUUUGCUUGGGGUGUGCUUUGUUGCCUGAUGAGAUCAUUGAAACUUUCAAGUGGGUCUUCCAGCAAUGGAUGUUGGCAAUGAAUAAUGAGCAUCCAUUGAACAUUAUGACUGAUCAAGACCAGGCCAUGGCUACAGCCAUCUCAAUGGUAUUUCCAGAUUCAACACACAGAUGUUGCAAGUGGCACGUCUUCCGGGUUGCAAGGACAAAACUAGGGAAGAUGUUGGGCAAGGAUGAGCCUUUCGCAGAAGCAUUCUAUGGUUGCAUUAAUGGUUCAGAUACCGUUGAGGAGUUUGAAGAACGGUGGAAGCAGAUGGUCGAGGUGUUUGGUGUGGCUGAUAAGAAACACCUCAAAAACAUGUGGAACAGCAAGGAGACGUGGGCUCCUGUGUACUUUAGGAAUAAGUUCUUCCCAUUCACAGGAACAACUGGGCGCUCCGAGGGCCUGAAUUCCUACUUCAAGACAUUAAAUCAUCAUGGAGACUCGGUUUGGACAUUUGUGCAACAGUUUGAGCUUUGCCAGGUGUCGGUGUCAAAACCAGCGGAUCUCGGGUAG
rnacentral:rRNA from 1 species